CUCUCCCUAACCAUUGAACCAACAAAAAUACUCUGAACACGGCCAGCAAUUGAUUUCUCUAAAUCAUCACCGAAUGGAUAGAAUAAGCAAUAAACUCAGAAUGCAAAUCAAAAUUUUUUAACAGCCAUAUCCAUUGAGUUCUUAAGUCAUUGAGUGGCGGCAGCAGAUGCUUUCUCCACUUUUUCCUUCUCAAUCUCUACUCUCCUCUGGUCAGCAUGCUGGGCAACUCCAUUUGCAAGUGCCUGAUACUGGAACUCCAGUGUCUGGGUAAGGUUUUGAAAUCUCAAUGGAUCUGAUGCCUGCAUGACUGUGAUUCAUGGAGCAGUAGCAUGUAAGUCAAGUAAUACAAAAAUAAAAUUCGAUUCAAAAACAUCAAAUUUCAAAGUUUGCCGUACCUUUAAUCGUAUCCACAAAGAAUACAAAUGGAUCCACCUCAUCAAUAGGUGAUUGUAACUCUUCAUCAUCACUGAAGUCAUCAUCUGAGUCAUCGUCAUCCUCAUCAUGCGGACGGAAAGCCCUUGCCUGAAAUUCCAAACGACAGAUAAUGAUCAGAUGACAACUUUCCAUCCAUGGAACAUCAACUGCUGGAUCGUGAGAGAUAAUGAUCAAAUACCAUUACCAUUUCAUCAUUCAUCGGAUCCUAAAAAUGGAACAUUCCCCAUAUUUUGGGAAUACUGUUACCAUUUUAAGGGAGUGGCCAAACCUCUUAAUCCUAUGUAUGUAUUGCAAAGUUUUUGCGUUCCAUUUUAGGAUUCAACAAAUGAUGAAAUUGGCAUUUCAUAAAUAUCUGCUCAUUUAAUACCUUGUUUCCAAAUUAAAACUACCUUGGGAAAAAAUUAUCAAUAACUACGCACCUGUGCAGCUAACUUUUGAAGUCUGAUGCUGUCAGCUUCAUCUCCAUCCUCAGCAUCAACACCCAUUUCCUUGUCAGAACCAUCACCAUCAUCAUCCUCAUCAUCCGUUUGGAAGCCAUCCAUAUCAUCAUCAUCUUCGGCCUCUUCAUCCUUCGCAGCUUCUGUAAAAUUUUACACAAGUAUCCCAAUACAUAAAUAAACAGUAAAUAUAAUCACACAAAUAGUAAGGUACAAGGAUUAGAGAGAGAGAGAGAGAGAGAGAGAGAGAGACCUGCAACUUGCUCCUUGUAUGCAACUAGGAGAUCAAGAGUAGCCCUGAAAACACGGCCCAACGCCUCCCCUGGUAAUUGAUCCGCAGGAAGUGCAAGUAGAGAUGUCAAUCCCAAGCAGCAAACUUUCUUAUCAUGUUCCCUUCACAAAAAUCAUUUCCAUACACAUUCUAUAGAAUUGCCAGACUGAAAACAAUUACCAUCCCCAACUGCAACCCCAACAAGCGGCAGUUCCAGUGUUGUGCCUUACCAAAGGGAUCUUGGAUACACAAAGCUCCAAGCACUUGCAAACUGGAAAAUCUCUUGCGACUGACAGGCUCUCCCUAACCAUUGAACCAACAAAAAUACUCUGAACACGGCCAGCAAUUGAUUUCUCUAAAUCAUCACCGAAUGGAUAGAAUAAGCAAUAAACUCAGAAUGCAAAUCAAAAUUUUUUAACAGCCAUAUCCAUUGAGUUCUUAAGUCAUUGAGUGGCGGCAGCAGAUGCUUUCUCCACUUUUUCCUUCUCAAUCUCUACUCUCCUCUGGUCAGCAUGCUGGGCAACUCCAUUUGCAAGUGCCUGAUACUGGAACUCCAGUGUCUGGGUAAGGUUUUGAAAUCUCAAUGGAUCUGAUGCCUGCAUGACUGUGAUUCAUGGAGCAGUAGCAUGUAAGUCAAGUAAUACAAAAAUAAAAUUCGAUUCAAAAACAUCAAAUUUCAAAGUUUGCCGUACCUUUAAUCGUAUCCACAAAGAAUACA
rnacentral:lncRNA from 1 species